rnacentral:rRNA from 1 species
UACGUAGGGUGCGAGCGUUAAUCGGAAUACUGGGCGUAAAGCGUGCGCAGGCGGUUUUGUAAGACAGGCGUGAAAUCCCCGAGCUCAACUUGGGAAUUGCGCUUGGGACUGCAAGGCUAGAGUGUGUCAGAGGGGGGUAGAAUUCCACGUGUAGCAGUGAAAUGCGUAGAGAUGUGGAGGAAUACCGAUGGCGAAGGCAGCCCCCUGGGACAUGACUGACGCUCAUGCACGAAAGCGUGGGGAGCAAACAGG